rnacentral:tRNA from 1 species
GUCUUCGUGGCGCAGUUGGCUAGCGCGUCAGUCUCAUAUCUGAUCGAUAUGAUCCGGCUUUGGCCCGGGCUAUCUGAAGGUCGUGAGUUCGAGCCUCACCGAGGACA